CCUACGUGAGACUGCAGUGAGGAAUAUUGGUCAAUGGACGAGAGUCUGAACCAGCCAAGUAGCGUGAAGGAUGACUGCCCUAUGGGUUGUAAACUUCUUUUAUAUGGGAAUAAAAUGUUCCACGUGUGGGAUUUUGUAUGUACCAUAUGAAUAAGGAUCGGCUAACUCCGUGCCGGCAGCCGCGGUAAUACGGAGGAUCCGAGCGUUAUCCGGAUUUAUUGGGUUUAAAGGGAGCGUAGGUGGAUUGUUAAGUCAGUUGUGAAAGUUUGCGGCUCAACCGUAAAAUUGCAGUUGAAACUGGCAGUCUUGAGUACAGUAGAGGUGGGCGGAAUUCGUGGUGUAGCGGUGAAAUGCUUAGAUAUCACGAAGAACUCCGAUUGCGAAGGCAGCUCACUGGACUGGAACUGACACUGAGGCUCGAAAGUGUGGGUAUCAAACAGGAUUAGAUACCCCUGUAGUC
rnacentral:rRNA from 1 species